rnacentral:rRNA from 1 species
GCUUAACACAUGCAAGUCGAACGGAACUUAUUGGAUCAAGACUUCGGUCAAGUGAAUUUAAGUUUAGUGGCGGACGGGUGAGUAACGCGUGAGGAACCUGCCUUUCAGAGGGGGACAACAGUUGGAAACGACUGCUAAUACCGCAUAACGCAUAUUGAUCGCAUGGUCGAUAUGCCAAAAAUUUAUCGCUGAAAGAUGGCCUCGCGUCUGAUUAGCUUGUUGGCGGGGUAACGGCCCACCAAGACGACGAUCAGUAGCCGGUCUGAGAGGAUGAACGGCCACAUUGGGACUGAGAUACGGCCCAGACUCCUACGGGAGGCAGCAGUGGGGAAUAUUGGGCAAUGGGGGAAACCCUGACCCAGCAACGCCGCGUGAAGGAAGAAGGCCUUCGGGUUGUAAACUUCUUUUAGCAGGGACGAAGGACGUGACGGUACCUGCAGAAAAAGCAACGGCUAACUACGUGCCAGCAGCCGCGGUAAAAC